GAUGAACGCUGGCGGCGUGCUUAACACAUGCAAGUCGAACGAUGAAGCCCAGCUUGCUGGGUGGAUUAGUGGCGAACGGGUGAGUAACACGUGAGUAACCUGCCCUUGACUCUGGGAUAAGCCUGGGAAACUGGGUCUAAUACUGGAUAUGACUUCUCAUCGCAUGGUGGGGGGUGGAAAGAUUUAUUGGUCUUGGAUGGACUCGCGGCCUAUCAGCUUGUUGGUGAGGUAAUGGCUCACCAAGGCGACGACGGGUAGCCGGCCUGAGAGGGUGACCGGCCACACUGGGACUGAGACACGGCCCAGACUCCUACGGGAGGCAGCAGUGGGGAAUAUUGCACAAUGGGUGCAAGCCUGAUGCAGCGACGCCGCGUGAGGGAUGACGGCCUUCGGGUUGUAAACCUCUUUCAGUAGGGAAGAAGCGAGAGUGACGGUACCUGCAGAAGAAGCGCCGGCUAACUACGUG
rnacentral:rRNA from 1 species